CCAGUAAGAGAGGAUUGAGCCCAUGCUGUGCCGAGCGGCUGAUGAGUGUGACCGUGACCGACCAGUGUGUGUCUCAUCGCUGUUUUUGCAGACAAUAAAGUCCGUUCCAAAUACUAAGAGUGUCGGCCUUCAUCCAGAAAAAUCACAACACAACGCAGACAGUGGU